GACGAACGCUGGCGGCGUGCUUAACACAUGCAAGUCGAACGAAGUGGCGAACGGGUGAGUAACGCGUAAUCAACCUGCCCUUCAGCGGGGGACAACAGUUGGAAACGCCUGCUAAUACCGCAUACUGACGGCGGGGAUUGCGUCUGAUUAGCUAGUUGGAGGGGUAACGGCCCACCACGGCGAUGAUCAGUAGCCGGGCUGAGAGGAGGAACGGCAACAGUGGGACUGAGACAAGGCCCAGAAUACGAAGGGAGGAAGCAGUGGGGAAUCUUACGAAAUGGACGAAAGUCUGACGGAGCAACGCCGCGUGAGUGAUGACGGCCUUCGGGUUGUAAAGCUCUGUUAAUCGGGACGCGGUACCGGAAUAGAAAGCAACGGCUAACUACGUGCAAGCAGCCGCGGUAAUAC
rnacentral:rRNA from 1 species